rnacentral:rRNA from 1 species
UUUCCUACGGGGCGCAGCAGUGGGGGAUAUUGCACAAUGGGGGGAACCCUGAUGCAGCGACGCCGCGUGGGUGAAGGAGCGUUUCGGCGCGUAAAGCCCUAUCGGCAGGGAAGAAGGAGGACGGUACCUGACUAAGAAGCCCCGGCUAACUACGUGCCAGCAGCCGCGGUAAUACGUAGGUGGCGAGCGUUAUCCGGAAUGAUUGGGCGUAAAGGGUGCGCAGGCGGUCCUGCAAGUCUGGAGUGAAACGCAUGAGCCCAACUCAUGCAUGGCCUUGGAAACUGGAGGACUG